AGCAUAACAACAUCCACAGACUGACAACAUCCACUAUACACAGACUGACAUCCACUACACAGCAUAACAACAUCCACAGACUGACAACAUCCACUAUACACAGACUGAUAUCCACUACACAGCAUAACAACAUCCACAGACUGACAACAUCCACUAUACACAGACUGACAUCCACUACACAGCAUAACAACAUCCACAGACUGACAACAUCCACUAUCCACAGACUGGCAUCUACUAUACAGCAUAACAACAUCCUUAUACUGACAACAUCCUUAUACUGACAACAUCCUUAUACUAACAACAUCCACUGUAUACAGACUGAUAUCUACUACACAGCAUUACAACAUCCAC